UGGGGAAUAUUGGGCAAUGGGCGAAAGCCUGACCCAGCAACGCCGCGUGAGGGAAGAAGGUCUUCGGAUUGUAAACCUUUGUCCUAUGGGACGAAACAAAUGACGGUACCAUAGGAGGAAGCUCCGGCUAACUACGUGCCAGCAGCCGCGGUAAUACGUAGGGAGCAAGCGUUGUCCGGAAUUACUGGGCGUAAAGGGUGCGUAGGUGGCCAUGUAAGUUAGGUGUGAAAGACCGGGGCUUAACCCCGGGGCGGCACUUAAAACUGUGUGGCUUGAGUACAGGAGAGGGAAGUGGAAUUCCUAGUGUAGCGGUGAAAUGCGUAGAUAUUAGGAGGAACACCAGUGGCGAAGGCGACUUUCUGGACUGUAACUGACACUGAGGCACGAAAGCGUGGGGAGCAAACAGGAUUAGAUACCC
rnacentral:rRNA from 1 species